CUUUCCACGUUGCACAAGCCCAGCACAGGGUACCCACUGGAUGUGCCCGAGGCCUCCAGAGGGAAGGAAAGGAGGAAAAGGGACGGAAGAAAUGUUCACAGGAACUGCAUAUGGGCCUGCUACUUGUGUCAAAAUGUGACUGAACUCUCUUCCAGCAGGUGUGGGGAAAAGAGUGACUUCAUCUUAAAUGUUAAUCUGCCAUGUAACUUCUGACUAAUCCCAGGUCCAGAAAUGCCUCUAAAUGUCUCAUUGCUGUAUUACUCUUUAUGUGGAAACACCUAUUCACUUGUGAAUCCCUGGAAGGCAAGAUCACCAUUCUGGUCUCUUGUGGAUAUCAAUGCUGAUCUCAGCUUCUGAUGCAUGGCAGUCAAUUAAUAAAUGAUUGUUGCCUGAAAAACUGAGCCCCAAAACAAUAUUACAAGUUUAAUAUCAGUAAACGAUUUAAUGCUUUCUAACUUGAAGAUACCAGAUCUUUUCUAUUCCUGGACUUUUAGAGUUGCUGAGUUUUGUAUAACCCAGAGAUGGAUUUAAAUGCAGAGUGUAUGAACUUCUUCAUUCCUGAGGGAAGACUUAUGAUUUUGUGAGAAAUGCCCCAGGAAAGGGGCCGGGGAGACUGAUGGAGAAGAAGAGUUUGGGAGGGAAGCCCCAAGGACCAUCUGCCCCAUGAGAGUCACACACAGAGGGUCCUGCUCCUGCCUUUGGAAGUUGGCUUCCUGAGCUGCUGAACGUGCCAGUCCUGCUGACCCACUCUCAGAUAUCACAGGCACCCGCUGUGUCUGACAGAGACCUUUCUGCAAGUACACGUGCAGGUCUGCUCUGUAAAGGCAUUAUCAUUUGCAGAUUAUUGCACAGAGUGGCUACGAGCUGUGGUGUGAUCCUGUCACAGAGAGAGCCUGGUCACGUUUUCAGAACAGCAGGAAACAAGUACACCUGUAAGCUUAUACUUAUCAGAUUUAAAAAUAAAACGAAAAAUCCAUGCUAUUCCAUGAAAAUCAGGCUCCAAUAAACUUAGUCACUAAUUUGUGAAGUAAACAAUCUGAUGGUAAUGCAUCAGUUGACACUUCGGCCUGGGUUUUUAGGCACAAAUGAAAGCCAGGGGCUAAAGAAUUUUUAAUUUACCAUUAUUUCCCUUGAUGGUUCAACAAAGUUCUUGUGCUAGAAAGUUUUAUAAAACUACUUUCUGAGUGUCCUGUGACAUUUCUCUGAUGAUACAAAAAGUCAAUAUUUGAUAGCUUAAAUAUCAAUAUUGACAGAAAUAUUAUUUAAAUAAAAACACAAAUAGUAAAAUAAUUUUAUUUG